rnacentral:rRNA from 1 species
UAGUACCUGCCCAGUGCGUAUUAUCUUGUUAACGGCCGCCUUAGCGUGAGGGUGCUAAGGUAGCGAAAUUCCUUGCCUUUUAAUUGUAGGCCAGCAUGAAUGGUUUGACGAGGGCCUCACUGUCUCUUAGUUUUAUGUUGAAAUUGUAGUGUAGGUGAAGAUACCUUCAUAAAAAAGUAAGACAAAAAGACCCCGUGCAACUUUGAAAAUUAAGCUAGAUUAAAUGGCAAAAGAUUUUUAGGUGGGGCGCCAAAAGAGGAAACUAUAACCUCUGCUGUUUAAGCUAAUUCUUACUGGAGUUGACCUGACUUAAGUCGAUCAAAGGAGAAGUUACGCCGGGGAUAACAGGCCAAUUCUUUAGUAAAGCUCGUAUUAACUAAAGGGCUUGGCACCUCGAUGUUGAAUCAGGGAUUAUAGCUUCAAGGCGUA